AAGGCUAAAUACUACCCAGCGACCGAUAGUGAACCAGUACCGUGAGGGAAAGGUGAAAAGUACUCCUGUUAGGAGAGUGAAAUAGUACCUGAAACCGUGUGCUUACAAACAGUGGGAGGGCUAUGUUCAAAUGUAGUUUGAACACGCCUGACCGCGUGCCUUUUGCAUAAUGAGUCAGCGAGUUACUUUAUGCGGCGAGAUUAAGCCGAAUGAGGUGUAGUCGUAGCGAAAGCGAGUCUUAACCGGGCGUCAUAGUCGCAUGAAGUAGACCCGAAACCAGGUGAUCUAUCCAUGGCCAGGGUAAAGCAGAUGUAAUAGUCUGUGGAGGCCCGAACCCACUGACGUUGAAAAGUCAGGGGAUGAGCUGUGGAUAGGGGUGAAAGGCCAAUCAAACCUGGAGAUAGCUGGUUCUCCCCGAAAUAUAUUUAGGUAUAGCCUCGCAAGUUCAGUAACGGAGGUAGAGCACUGGAUGGACUAGGGGGCCCUAAGGCUUACCAAACCCAACCAAACUCCGAAUGCCGUUAACUGCGAUUGCGGGAGUCAGACUGUGGGAGAUAAGUUCCAUGGUCGAGAGGGAAAAAACCCAGACCGCCAGCUAAGGUCCCCAAAUACGUGCUAAGUGGAAAAGGAUGUGGAAGCGCAUAGACAACCAGGAGGUUUGCUUAGAAGCAGCAAUCCUUUAAAGAGUGCGUAAUAGCUCACUGGUCAAGCGAGUCUGCGCCGAAAAUGUAACGGGGCUCAAGCACGUUACCGAAGCUGCGGGCUUCGAGUGUCCUUCGUGAUACUUGGAGCGGUAGGGGAGCGUUCCAUCGUAGGUUGAAGCUGGACCGAAAGGACCAGUGGACGAAAUGGAAGUGCUUAUGCUGACAUGAGUAGCGAUAAAAGGGGUGAGAAACCCCUUCGCCGAAAACCUAAGGGUUCCUGAGGAAGGUUAAUCCUCUCAGGGUUAGUCGACCCCUAAGCCGAGGCCGAAAGGCGUAGGUGAUGGGAAGCAGGUUAAUAUUCCUGCACCACUAGAUCAACGUUUGAGUGAUGGGGGGACGUAGAAGGGUAGGCAUACGCCCUGCUGGAAUAGGGCGGCCGCGAUCGUAGGAGGGCUUUCCAGGCAAAUCCGGAAGGCUAUUCAAACUCCGAGGAGAGCGGGGAAGUGCGGCUUCGGCCAAACCAACUUGUUGAUCCCAUGCUACCAAGAAAAGCCUCUAAGCGAGUUGAUCUGGUGAUCGUACCGUAAACCGACUCAGGUGGGUGAGGUGAAUAUCCUAAGGCGCUUGAGAUAACCCUCGUUAAGGAACUCGGCAAACUAGCACCGUACCUUCGGAAGAUGGUGCGCCUCUCUGGUGAAGGGAUUUACUCCUGGAGCUAAGGGAGGCCGCAGUGAAGUGGGGGUUGCGACUGUUUACUAAAAACACAGGACUCUGCAAAGUCGUAAGACGACGUAUAGGGUCUGACGCCUGCCCGGUGC
rnacentral:rRNA from 1 species